rnacentral:rRNA from 1 species
UCUGGUUGAUCCUGCCUGAACUGAUGUGUUCAUUUCAAAGAUUAAGCCAUGCAUGUAUAAGUAUAAACGACUUGAUCGUGAAACCGCGAACGGCUCAUUAUAACAGCUAUAAUUUACUUGAUCUUGACAAUUUACUUGGAUAACUGUGGUAAUUCUAGAGCUAAUACAUGCACCAAAGCUCCGACCGUAAGGAAAGAGCGCAUUUAUUAGAACAAAACCAAGCGGCUUCGGCCGUUCAAUGUUGAAUCAUAAUAACUAAGCUGAUCGCAUGGUCUUGUACCGGCGACGUGUCUUUCAAGUAUCUGCCUUAUCAACUUUCGAUGGUAGUGUAUCUGACUACCAUGGUUGUGACGGGUAACGGAGGAUAAGGGUUCGACUCCGGAGAAGGGGCCUGAGAAAUGGCCACUACGUCUAAGGAUGGCAGCAGGCGCGCAAAUUACCCACUCUCAGAACGAGGAGGUAGUGACGAGAAAUAACAAGACCGUUCUCUUCAGAGGCCGGUCAUUGGAAUGGGUACAAUUUAAACCCUUUAACGAGUAUCUAUGAGAGGGCAAGUCUGGUGCCAGCAGCCGCGGUAAUUCCAGCUCUCAAAAUGCAUAGAAUCAUUGCUGCGGUUAAAAAGCUCGUAGUUGGAUCUGUGCUGGCGGGUCGGUCCACCUUCGGGUGCGCACUGAUUUCGCCGGCUUUCCUGCUGUAUUUGGCCCUGUGCCUUUCAACGGGUGCAGUGUCCAGUGCAGCAAGUUUACCUUGAACAAAUCAGAGUGCUUCAAACAGGCGUUUCGCUUGAAUGUUCGUGCAUGGAAUAAUAGAAGAGGAUUUCGGUUCUAUUUUAUUGGUUUUAUAGACUGAGAUAAUGGUUAACAGAGACUAACGGGGGCAUUAGUAUUGCUACGUGAGAGGUGAAAUUCUUGGACCGUAGCAAGACUGACUACAGCGAAAGCAUUUGCCAAGAAAGUCUUCAUUAAUCAAGAACGAAAGUCAGAGGUUCGAAGGCGAUCAGAUACCGCCCUAGUUCUGACCGUAAACGAUGCCAACUAGUGAUCCGCCGGUGGAACAUUCGCCCUGGUGGGGAACUUCCCGGAAACGAAAGUCUUCCGGUUCCGGGGGAAGUAUGGUUGCAAAGCUGAAACUUAAAGGAAUUGACGGAAGGGCACCACCAGGAGUGGAGCCUGCGGCUUAAUUUGACCCAACACGGGAAAACUCACCCGGCCCGGACACCGUAAGGAUUGACAGAUUGAUAGCUCUUUCAUGAUUCGGUGGAUGGUGGUGCAUGGCCGUUCUUAGUUCGUGGAGCGAUUUGUCUGGUUUAUUCCGAUAACGGGCGGACUCUGGCCUACUAAAUAGUUUACACAUUGCUUCUGUGUGCAUAACUUCUUAGAGGGAUUUUCGGUGUUCAGCCGCAAGAAAUUGAGCAAUAACAGGUCUGUGAUGCCCUUAGAUGUCCGGGGCUGCACGCGCGCUACACUGGCAAAAUCAGCGUGCUUGUCCUUCCCCGAAAGGGGUUGGUAAACUCGUGAAAAUUUGCCGUGAUUGGGAUCGGAAAUUGCAAUUAUUUUCCGUGAACGAGGAAUUCCAAGUAAGUGCGAGUCAUCAACUCGCGUUGAUUACGUCCCUGCCCUUUGUACACACCGCCCGUCGCUGCCCGGGACUGAGCCGUUUCGAGAAACUUGGAGACCGCUGAUCUGGUAACU